UGGGGAAUUUUGGACAAUGGGGGAAACCCUGAUCCAGCCAUCCCGCGUGUGCGAUGAAGGCCUUCGGGUUGUAAAGCACUUUUGGCAGGAAAGAAACGUCAUGGGUUAAUACCCCGUGAAACUGACGGUACCUGCAGAAUAAGCACCGGCUAACUACGUGCCAGCAGCCGCGGUAAUACGUAGGGUGCAAGCGUUAAUCGGAAUUACUGGGCGUAAAGCGUGCGCAGGCGGUUCGGAAAGAAAGAUGUGAAAUCCCAGAGCUCAACUUUGGAACUGCGUUGUUAGCUUCCGGGCUAGAGUGUGUCAGAGGGAGGUGGAAUUCCGCGUGUAGCAGUGAAAUGCGUAGAUAUGAGGAGGAACACCGAUGGCGAAGGCAGCCGCCUGAGAUAACAAUGACGAUCAUGCACGAAAGCGUGGGGAGCAAACAGG
rnacentral:rRNA from 1 species